CAGUUGGGAGAAGGUGUUCUUGAUGUUGUCCAGGUUCUUCACAGCAUCCCCAAAGGAGGUGAGCACUUUCUUGCCAUGGGCACGGACCAUGGGGUUGCCAAGGAUGGCGGUGGGGCUGGAGAGGUUCCCAAAGGACGCAAAGAACCUCUGGGUCCAGGGGUAGACAA